rnacentral:lncRNA from 1 species
UUUUAGUCUUCGGAAGCACAACUCGCUGUCAUAUUGGUUCAUGAAUAUAUCAAAAUUGCAAACAGACUUAUAUACCCAUAGUGCCUCUUUUGUUAGUAAUUUUAUGGACUAAAUUAACAAACGAAAAAUAUUUGAUAAUCAAAUUGACUAUCUAAAAACUAAUUUAAUGAUCAAAAUGACUAAUAAAAGAAACACUUGUAGAUCUAAUUAUAAUUUCAAUAUAUAAAAAAAGGCAAAUGAUAAAGAGAAAGAGUGCCCUAGAACACUCAUUAA